rnacentral:rRNA from 1 species
CCUACGGGGGGCAGCAGUGGGGAAUAUUGGGCAAUGGGCGCAAGCCUGACCCAGCAACGACGCGUGAAGGAAGAAGGCUUGCGGGUUGUAAACUUCUUUUAUCAGGGACGAAGCAAGUGACGGUACCUGAUGAAUAAGCCACGGCUAACGUCGGGCCAGGCGCCGCGGUAUUACGUAGGUGGCAAGCGUUAUCCGGAUUUACUGGGUGUACAGGGCGUGGAGGCGGGAGUGCACGUAAGAUGGGAAAACUAUGGGCUCAACCCAUAGCCUGCAUUUGAAACUGUACUUCUUGAGUGCUGGGGAGGCAAUCGGAAUGCCGUGGGUAGCGGUGAAAUGCGUAGAUAUACGGAGGAACACCAGUGGCGAAGGCGGAUUGCUGGACAGUAACUGACGCUGAGGCGCGAAAGCGUGGGGAGCAAACAGGAUUAGAUACCCCAGUAGUC